UGGGAAGGGCCUUCACACAGAGGCCCGCCCCCAUCUCGCCCCUCCUCGCGGUGCUCCCGACCGCGCAGAGGUCUCUGGGAAAUGUAGUUUUCUUCUGCCUGGAGCUCUGCGCGGGGCGACGCAGCUGGGCUGCAACCCGCUCCUCCAGGGACGGGUAGUGUGACGUUUGGGGUCAGAACGCACCACUUUCGGGCACCCCCACUUAAGAUUGCUCAACUGCUUUGAGCUCAGAAAGCAAGGUGUAAAGGUGGGGGAAAAGCACUUUCGUCUCAGAAUUACAGCUACUGGUAUGGAAAAGCUGGGGCCCUUCGCUGGUGUGAGUCCUAAGGAUGUCUAAAUGGAACGUGCAUCUGCUACAGGCUCGCACUUUCCUUUAUUGCGCUUCCCAGAAUGCCCUCAUAGAAGCUGAUGAAACACAAUUUGGAUUUUUACAACAGUGAUUUUCAAAGGGACUUCCUGCUGUUGUAAGCAACCACUACAGAUUUCUCAGAAGUACUGUGGCAAAUAAAAAUGAUUGAGAAUCAUUAUACAUUUUCUAUUCUACUAGAGAGACAGUUUAAAAUAAAAUAGAAUGCUAAGACCACCAUGCAGUGGAAAAGCUCCAUCUACCAGAAGAUGAGAAGCCAUGUGGAGAACUAAGACUUCCCAGCCAAUAGCCAGCACCAACUGCCAGACACGUAAGUGAGGCCAUCUUGAACCCUCCAACCCUAGAUGUAUUCACGGUUCUCCAGAGAAACAGAACCAAUAAGAUGUGUGUGUGUGUGUGUGUGUGUGUUUAUAAAGAUAUUUAUUUUAAGGACUUGACUCACUUGAUUAUAGAGCUUCCAAGUCCAAAAUCUGCAGGGUGGGUUGGCAGGCUGGAGGCCAGGGAAAAGGUGAUGCUACAGUUCAAGUCUGAGAGCCAUCUACUGGCAAAAUUCCUUCUUGCUCAUGGAAGGUCAGUCUUUUGUUCUAUUCAGGCCUUCAGUUGAUUGGAUAAGGCCUACUCACAUUAUGGAGGGCAAUCUGCGUUAUUCAAAGUCCCCUGAUUUGUUACUCAGAGGUGAGAAAAAUCAUGGUGUACUAAAGUCACCACAAAAACUUCUGUAGAUCAUAUGGAGAAGCAGGAGAGAUGAAGCUGGAGAGCAAAGCAGCAAAUCAGCAAUUAAAAAAGAUGUUUGGAGUUGUUGAGUUUGGAGAUGAAAAGUGACAAGAUGAAUUCUGGAUUUUAGACAAAGCAAUCCAACGUGUGGAUGGAGAGGGAUUUGAGAGGAGAAAUCAGCUGUUGUCAGUAAGAGUAUUUAAAUUAGGAUACUGGUAACGGGGAUGGAGAGACACACGAUUAUACAUGGGAAGUGAGAGCAGAAAGAAUUAGGAUUAUUUCUUGAUUUUUUUUUUUUUUUUUU
rnacentral:lncRNA from 1 species